GCAAUUAAACCUAGCCCAACAACAAACAAUAAUCCCACCAAACAAUAAUUACAUUACCAAAAACUUAACCAAAACAUUUUACCAUCUAGUAUAGGUGAUAGAAAAGAU
rnacentral:rRNA from 1 species